CACCCUGCAAUUUCACCGGAUGUUUUCUCAUGUGUGAUACAGCAUCAUCUAGUCUAGAUUUUUUAUUUUUUUAUUUUACCUUUAUUUAACUAGGCAAGUCAGUUAAGAACAAAUUCUUAUUUUCAGUAACGGACUAGGAACAGUGGGUUAACUGCCUGUUCAGGGGCAGAACGACAGAUUUGUAUCUUGUCAGCUCGGUUGUUUGAAAUUGCAACCUUCCGGUUACUAGUCCAACGCUCUAACCACUAGGCUACCCUGGGCUCAGGGGGAGGGGCCAGUUUAUGAUGAUGUCAUGGGAGAACCUUCAGUACAUUCUCAAUCAGACAUGUCUUGUGCAGCACAAAAACUAUUGCAGGUUCCUCUGUCAGAAGAAGACCAAUAGAGGAGGAUCCUCCUUCUGAUAUAUUGCUUCCUAUAAGAACCACACUAACAGGAGAGAAAAAUAGAGUGGAUCAAAUGUGCCAUGUAUUGGUUGGAAAGUUGACUGGUUGACUGGUGUCCAAUCAGACAUGCACUCUUAGGUGUUACACAUCAGAAGGAACUGUUUUAAUUGUCAAAGAUUCAGGGUCCUUAAGCAUGUCUGUGCUCCAGCAGCCUGUGUCUGGGUCAGUCCAGCCAGGAGCCCUGAGGCUGGGUCUCCUACACAGAGCUGUGUCUAGAACCUUCCCAAGAGGAACCUCAGCCUCUCUGAUGCUGGGACAUACUACUGUGCUGUGGCCUCAUGUGGGGAGAUACUGUUUGGGAACGGGACCAAGCUGGAUGUUGAAGAUUGUGAGUUUGAUCCACAGAUGAGAAUCCUGGUCCUCUCCAUCAUAAGAACUGGAGUUCUCCUCUGCUGUCUGACCAUCAUCUACCUCACCAGGAAAUAGAUCAAGCUAAGGACAGUGUCAAUAGACUAGAGAUGGUUUUUGGAGUAAAGUCAGAGAUACUGUAUCAUCCCUAUGCAUUGAAAAUGAUGAUUAAUUGAGAUUGCUUAUUUGCUCGUAUUGCAUUUGAAAAGUAUUAGCCUGCGACUUCUAAUUCAAUUGAGCAUCAUCAUGCUUCCUUAUGCUGUAUGUGUUAAUUGAUUGAACUGCUCUCCUGAAAUCCCUGUAUACAGAAUGUACCCUCUUUUUUCAUUAAUACAUAUCUUCCUUCUCUUGUGUUCUGUACAUACAGUAUGUCUGUAUGUCUGUGUGCAGAGGGCUUCUGCAGACACAACCUACUGUUACCAUGCUAAAACCACCCACGCAACAUUCACUCAGUGAGCUGUUCACCAGUACCUGAACACUGGUUUACUGUGACAUCAUGAUGCGUUGCUUUGCUUUGGACAGGCCUGGUUGACCUUUCCUUCACUAUGUAGUUUCAGCAGGAUGUCUAUGUGGUCUCAGUGUGUUUUCUCUCAUGCUUACAUUGUUGAGCACGACCAUAACAAUUAGAAACACAGUCCACUGACAUACUGCAUGCUACAUAGCCUCUAUGUUGUCACAUGGGCCAAUUUCCCAGACAUAGAUUAUCCCUAGUCCUGGACUAAAAUGACAUGUUCAUUCUUGAACUACAAUAUAUAUUUUUUUUUACAGUUUAUAAGAUAAUUUGUAUCAAUGUUUACAGCUAAGAGGCCUACCCACCCAGGUCAACCUGGUCUCAUAGACUAGACGUAACAUAGUCAUUGUAAAUCCGUAACACUCAAAUUAGUAUGAAAUGUAACGUUUGGUAUGGUUACAUAAGAAGGACACUUAAAACAAAAGUAGGGGGGUUGGUCGAGUUGGAUGGGUAGGCGUAUAACAUGAACGUCUAGCGUCCCAAAGGUUGCAUUUUUGAAUCUCGUCACGGACAACUUUAGCAUUUUAGCAACUUAACCACCUAGCUAACGUUAGCGAUAGUCACCCAGCUCCUUAGCUAACAUUAGCCACAACAAAUGGGAAUUCGCAACAUAUCAUACAUUUAGCUAAUUGUUUACAUAUUGUACGAAUUACAAUUUGUAACAUAUUGUACGAAUUGCAAAUUGUAACAUAUCAUACGAAUUGUAAUUUGUAACAUAUCAUACACCAUGGGAUGAUGGACACCCACAAAUGAAUACAUACCAUACGAAACGUAACAUAUCAAUCCAGUUAGAGCAUGUUUGUGUGAAUGAUAGUGAAUGAGACUGACAUAUAAUUGACUUGUUUCAUUCUGUUGGUGUUUCCCCCAUAAACAUAAUGCUCCACUCCAGUUCACCCUCCGUCGAUCGACGAAUGUGCAGAGUCAUGUUUUUUGGGGCAGCGGGCACUUUUGUCCACAUUGUCAUUGCAUUCCACCCAGAGAGGAAGUCCGCCUUGUGUCGUGCAGUCUGCGAUGCAAAUGACCGCUCCACCAUGAUCGACGGGGUGCAUAUGGUCGUGAGAGAGAUGCGGGAAUCUUCUCAAGAAGCAUGUUCAGCUCUCAACUCAUUGCAGGCCCACUCCCGCUGAGGCCAGUGUGCUUGCUGGGGACCCAAACACCAAGCCCAUAUGUCUUAGUGGGAGAUGAGGCAUUCCCUCUGAGGGUAAACCGGAUGCGACCAUAUCCAGGUUCCUCUGCCCUUGAUGAAGCCAAGAAUAUCUACAACUACUGCCACUCAAGCCAAAAGAAUUUCAGAAACCUGCUUUGGGAUUCUUGCUGCAAGAUGGAGGGUCCUGGGACGAGCUGUUGAUGUUGCCUCAGAGAAAGCAGAGUCCAUUGUGAAUGUCUGCGUGGCCCUCCACAACUACCUUUGCACCACAGAAAUGGACAAUUCAGUCAUCAACAUGGUACAUCCACCACACAUACAUCCAGCUUCCUGGUCCCAAGAAACAUGUCAGCAGACAGGGCAUCUGGAGUUGCUACAGAUGUGAGCAACAACCUCAAGGACUACUUCCUCACACCAGUUAGUCAUGUAUCUUUACAGGAUGCUGCAUCAAUUUUGUUAUUGUUCGACAUAAAAUACUGUAAAAACACCAGCAAAUCAGCUCCAAGUGAUAAUUAUGUUUUAGUUUUGGCCUUCUUGCAUUCAAUUUGCAGUCUACGAAUGAUUUGUAAUUUUGUUCCAACCCCCUGACCAUUCCCUUAACAUUUGUUUUUGCCUGCAGCUGAAUCUCGAUGAUAAUCCCUGCUUUAGCUUUAUGGAAAUGCUUUUACCUUGUUGUUUGUAUUCUACACAUACUUUGCACAUCAAACUGAGAAAGGCCCGGAAAAUGUUGCACAUUAUCUGAGAAAGAUCUGAAAAAUUUCCAAAGACUCCAGCCACCCGAGAUAUGGACUGUUUUCCAUGCACCUGUCCGGCAGAUGUGUCACGCCCUGACCUUAGAGAUCCUUUUUAUGUCUCUAUUUAGGUUUGGUCAGGGCGUGUUGUGUAGUUCUAUGUUUUGGCCGGGUAGGGUUCUCAAUCAGGGACAGCUGUCUAUCGUUGUCUCUGAUUGAGAACCAUACUUAGGCUGCCCUUUUUCCCACCUGUGUUUGUGGGAAGUUGACUUUGUUUAUGGCACACAGCCUUUUGCUUCACGGUUUGUUUUUGUAGUGUUUAUUGUUUUGU